rnacentral:pre_miRNA from 1 species
UCAAAUAGUGAUGAUUCGCAAAAGGUUGAAAGUAAUUAUAUUAUAUUUAUAAUAUUUAUGUUGACCUUAUUUUCCAAAUGAGAGGAUAUAAUGAUAAACACGUGGAGAUUAAUAUAAACAUUUUUAUUCAUUUGCUUACUGGGAUA